rnacentral:rRNA from 1 species
GAUGAACGCUGGCGGUAGGCCUUACACAUGCAAGUCGAGCGGACAGAAUUAAAACAAGUUGGAGAGCUUGCUCAAAGACGAGUUUUUUGGAAGUUAGCGGCAAACGGGUGAGUAACGCGUAAGUACAUCCCUCUAGUUUGAGAUAGCCAUCCGAAAGGGUGAGUAAUAUCAAAUGUGAUCGAAAGAUUAAAGAAGCAAUUCGCUAGAGGCAGGGCUUGCGUCCCAUCAGCUAGUUGGUAAGGUAAAAGCUUACCAAGGCUAAGACGGGUAGCUGGUCUGAGAGGACGAUCAGCCACACUGGGACUGCGACACGGCCCAGACACCUACGGGUGGCAGCAGUGGGGAAUUUUCGGCAAUGGGCGAAAGCCUGACCGAGCCAUACCGCGUGAAGGACGACAGCCUAUGGGUUGUAAACUUCUGUGGAGAAUUACUAAUUUUGAAGGAUUCUCUAGAAAGGGGUUGCUAACUCUG